AUGCUUGCUUUGAAAACAUAUAUACUAAAACUGGAAUGAUACAGAGAAGUUUUGCAUGGCCCCUGUGGAAGGAUAUCAUACAAAUUCCUAAAACAUUCCAUAUUUAA